rnacentral:rRNA from 1 species
UAGGGAAUCUUCCACAAUGGACGAAAGUCUGAUGGAGCAACGCCGCGUGAGUGAUGAAGGGUUUCGGCUCGUAAAACUCUGUUGUUGGAGAAGAACGGGUGUCAGAGUAACUGUUGACAUCGUGACGGUAUCCAACCAGAAAGCCACGGCUAACUACGUGCCAGCAGCCGCGGUAAUACGUAGGUGGCAAGCGUUGUCCGGAUUUAUUGGGCGUAAAGCGAGCGCAGGCGGUUUUUUAGGUCUGAUGUGAAAGCCUUCGGCUUAACCGGAGAAGUGCAUCGGAAACCGGGAGACUUGAGUGCAGAAGAGGACAGUGGAACUCCAUGUGUAGCGGUGAAAUGCGUAGAUAUAUGGAAGAACACCAGUGGCGAAGGCGGCUGUCUGGUCUGCAACUGACGCUGAGGCUCGAAAGCAUGGGUAGCGAACAGGAUUAGAUACCCUGGUAGUCCAUGCCGUAAAACGAUG